rnacentral:rRNA from 1 species
GACGAACGCUGGCGGCGUGCCUAAUACAUGCAAGUCGAACGAACUCUGGUAUUGAUUGGUGCUUGCAUCAUGAUUUACAUUUGAGUGAGUGGCGAACUGGUGAGUAACACGUGGGAAACCUGCCCAGGAAGCGGGGGAUAACACCUGGAAACAGAUGCUAAUACCGCAUAACAACUUGGACCGCAUGGUCCGAGCUUGAAAGAUGGCUUCGGCUUA